CACCAACAAGCACUUAACCAAGGCACUGCUAGUCGAAGAGAAUAUAAAUGCAAUAAGUGAAACAAUCCCUAGUUGCAAAGUGAAGCACGAAGUGUAAAUAUAAACGUCAUAUAAGAAUGGAAAUAUAGUCCAUAUAGGAAUAAAUGAAAGAAAGCAGUCUCUGCCUGCAGACUUUACGUUCUAAAGGCGAAACAAAUUCACCAGUUCCCAUCCAUGUCGGAGAGAGACAAUCUGGUGCUUCCACAUAGAUGUGACUCUUGACUGGAAAAGGGAAUGAAGACCUCUAUAUUAUCUAUUAUAAGGUUG
rnacentral:lncRNA from 1 species